ensembl:lncRNA
GUAUGAUGGAGGGUAUACAGUAAGUAUGAUGGAGGGUACAUAAGGUAUGAUGGAGGGUAUACAGUAGGUAAGAUGGAGGGUAUACAGUAGGUAUGAUGGAGGGUAUACAGUAGGUAUGAUGGAGGGUAUACAGUAGGUAUGAUGGAGGGUACACAUCAGGGAUGAUGGAGGGUAUACAGUAGGUAUAAUGGAGGGUAUACAUCAGGUAUGAUGGAGGGUAUACAGUAGGUAUGAUGGAGGGUAUACAGUAGGUAUGAUGGAGGGUAUACAGUAGGUAUGAUGGAGUGUAUACUGUAGGUAUGAUGGAGGGUACAUAAGGUAUGAUGGAGGGUAUACAGUAGGUAUGAUGGAGGGUAUACAGUAGGUAUGAUGGGGGGUAUACAGUAGGUAUGAUGGAGGGUAUACAUCAGGUAUGAUGGAGGGUAUACAGUAGGUAUGAUGGAGGGUAUACAGUAGCUAUGAUGGAGGGUAUACAGUAGGCAUGAUGGAGGGUAUACAGUAGGUAUGAUGGAGGGUAUACAGUAGAUAUGAUGG